rnacentral:rRNA from 1 species
UACGAAGGGGGCUAGCGUUGUUCGGAAUCACUGGGCGUAAAGCGCACGUAGGCGGAUCUUUAAGUCAGGGGUGAAAUCCCGAGGCUCAACCUCGGAACUGCCUUUGAUACUGAGGAUCUUGAGUUCGGGAGAGGUGAGUGGAACUGCGAGUGUAGAGGUGAAAUUCGUAGAUAUUCGCAAGAACACCAGUGGCGAAGGCGGCUCACUGGCCCGAUACUGACGCUGAGGCACGAAAGCGUGGGGAGCAAACAGGG